rnacentral:lncRNA from 1 species
GACCAUUUGAUCAAGCAGAAGCAACAAAUUAGUCCGUAUCAUGUAGUGUGGGUCCAUGGGAGGAGGAAUUCACCGCAACGGUAACGUUGAACGGGCAGAAGCGAUGUUUAUCUGUUUCAAUCGUUGGUCGAAAAAACAACACACAAUGCAUCUGCAGAGUGUCACCUUAUGCUUGUGUGGUUGGUAAUUACCAAUUGCUUUUAAAAAGUCCUCUUUCGGAGCUCUUGAAUGGCACCAGACAUGAGUGGUACUGUAAUACCUAAAAUUGUGUAUGCGCCGUUGCAUCAAUUCUGCUUCUUUAUUUCUGAACACAUGGCCGUGAAAUUCUGGUCAGCUUAAUGUCAAUUAUAUUUUGGAAGCGCUAGGUUUUGGAAAGUCCGUGUCAGAUUGUAGGACGCGUCUAGCGAGCGAGGCCGCUCGCUAGCGCUUUAAAGCAGCCUUCCACUUUUAGUAAAUUUGUGUCCCUGUCAAACAAAUUAGGAAAGAUUCUGUCCUAUUGGCUAGGAAAAGUAUCAUUCAACGAUGUUUUGAAAAAGAAAGAUUAUAACGCACUCAUGAGACAUGUCUGAACGCGUUUAAUUUGGAGUUCAACCUCUUUUAAAAUGUCAUAACUUUUGAACCGAAUAUAGAAAUUAAGAUUCGUUUUCACUGUUGGAUUCCUCGCGAUGUCCUCUUCGAAACUAGACCCAAUAUGCGCCUGUUUCGAAAAAACUUUUUCGUGUGCAAUUUAGGCACCGUUUGGUGCAACUGUCUAGUUCUCGUUGUGCAACUACUGAUACUCGAUGUGCAACUUUUUUCUGACUCGUGGACAUGCACUUUCACUCGCAAACAUAUGUGCAACCAGUUAUCUGCUUUCGUGCAACUACAGCAAUUCAAGCAGCCAACUAUGGGCACACUGUCUCAAAAAAAAGUAGACAGAAAAUAUAUCCACAAUAGUUGUGUGCAAACAAAACAUAGGCAGAUUUAAGCUGCUUUCAUGCAACUAAAUCAGUUCCAGCAACCAAAAAAGUAGACACACUGUGUGCAAAAAUUAUGUGCAACAAAAAAGAUGUGCAACAACAUAGUAAGUUUGUCAGCAUCCCAAGCACCAAACCAGUAAACCCAGCCAUUAUUGUGGCAACUGCAGCACCAAGUGAGCCAGCAGCAGGUCCAAAUGAACCAACUGUAUCAGAUGUUGUGCCAACUCCACUAGCAAGUGAGCCAUCUACAGACACAACUGUGCAACCACAACAACCAGGUGGAGGGAAAGUGAGGAUCCAUUAAAUUUCUUCCUCUUUAACUUCCCCUUCACCUCCCCUCCCGACCUUGUUUACCCAUGGCUUUGUCAUCUUCAAAAAAAAGUGUAGACUCCUAUAGACUUCCUUCUUGAGAUGAUUGUGCAUUUUGAAAUUUAUGUGCUAUAGCUGGUUUAGUUUGAAGUAUAAUGCUGCAGUGAAACAAAAACGUUCCAGCAAUGAUGAAGUGGGGCACUUCCAUUUGCCAUGCUGAUAUUAAAUUUCCAGUUAUUUCCAUGGCAUGUAUGGACUAGUUAGCCUAGAGACUUGGCAGAUUUAUCUACCUGGUUCUGUUUUUUCGUAUCCCUGACCAUCCUCCCAUUUGCAGCAUUCAGUAUGUGUUGUCAAACAUCGACAACUGCAUCCAGUACGGGGAAGAUGCUGAUGUGAAAGUUAGGGAUUUCAUUCCUAAGGAUGAUGAUUGACCAUUUGAUCAAGCAGAAGCAACAAAUUAGUCUGUAUCAUGUAGUGUGGGUCCAUGGGAGGAGGAAUUCACCGCCACACGAUAACGCUGAACGGGCAUAAGUGAUGUUUAUCUGUUUCAAUCGUUGGUCGGAAAAACAAAAGAGAAUGCAUCUGCAGAGUGUAUUUAGUCACCUUAUGCUUGUGUGGUUGGUAAUUACCAAUUGCUUUUAAAAAGUCCUCCUCUUCCGGAGCUCUUGAAUGGCACCAGACAUGAGUGGUACUGUAAUACCAUGGUACUGUAAUACCAAGAAUAGUGUAUGCGCCUUUGCAUCAAUUCUGCUCCUUUAUUUCUGAACACAUGGCCGUGAAAUUCUGGUCAGCUUAAUGUCAGUUAUAUU